CACAAAUGCAAACUGACACAUGGCAUAACUGGUGGCUGUGCAAAAAUCCAGCCGGAAAAGUACUAAAAUAGGCUAAUUUCAUUUCUGCCAGCUGCCUGCCUUUCCAUUCUUUAUCUCAGCUAUUAGGUUUGAAUAAAUUUCAUCUCCCACACUACAAGUAAUGAGCAGGCAAUGACUUAUGAAGCACCGAGACCAAGUUAAGACAGAAUUAGAAUACAAUUUUAAUGAGACGGAGCUGAGAAAGUGGAAGUGUUACUCCUUUGACAGACUUGGCAAAAUACCCAAUAUUAUUUCAAAUGCUCUUUCCUUUUUACAAAGAAACUGUCAAAUAUUAAAAUAAAAAUUAUAAAAAAUAAGACUGAGGAAUUCUUUAGGGGCAGAUUGUUAAUGUGAUUGUAAGCUAAAAAUAGUUAUUAGAGAAGUCAUUUAAGGAAGAGAGCAAAUGUGACUUCAAUGUAAACAUAUUAAAUAUAAAUACUCCUCUGAAAACAAACAACAUGCUUUGGUUUCUCUGGGAAAAAAAAAAAGCAAUUAACAUUCAGGUAACAUGCAUCUCUUUGAAAUGAGGUCCAGAAAUUGUUGGGGGAAUGGAGAGUAG
rnacentral:lncRNA from 1 species